GGGCUCGAUCGGUUUCGACGGGUGCUAUUUGACAAUACGAUGCAGCAGAGAUUGAGUAGGUCUCGAGACAAAAUACUCACAACCUUACAUGCCAACUUUGAGUUGGAAGGGUUGAUCAUAGAUUGGCAUCUUGCCGAUACUGAUAUGGUUGCUAGCAAUAGCGUACCACUUCUGGCAGAUCAACCGGUUUACGCUUACGCUUAAACCUACGGCUUGCUUAACAGCAGUAUAUAAAAUAAGUUAAGCACACUUCUUCAGCAAGUGUGAAGAAUAAAACGGACUUGUCAGUUAUGAGAAUCUGAGUAAAUUCUUGUAUGGUUGUUUGACAGUUUCUACCAAUGGAAACUGCCUAAGCUGUGAAUGACUGGAUUGGUAAAGACAUACCGGACCGGGGUUCGAUUCCCCGCGGGUCCACAA
rnacentral:tmRNA from 1 species